GACGAACGCUGGCGGCGUGCUUAACACAUGCAAGUCGAACGGAAAGGCCCUGCUUUUGUGUGGUGCUCGAUUGGCGAACGGGUGAGUAACACGGGAGUAACCUGCCCUUGACUUUGGGAUAACUUCAGGAAACUGGGGCUAAUACCGGAUAGUAGCGCCUGCUGCAUGGUGUGGGUUGGAAAGUUUCGGCGGGUGGGGAUUGACUCGCGGCUUAUCAGCUUGUAGGUGUGGUAGUGGCUUCCCCAGGCUUUGACGGGUAGCCGGGCUGAGAGGGAGACCGGGCACAGUGGGAUUGGGGAGGGAGCAAGAGGGAUACGGGGGGCAGGGAUGGGAGACAGAGCGAGAUGGGCCGAGGGAUGGAAGAGGGACGCCGGAUCGGAAAGGACGGUCGUCGGAGAAUAAAGGGCUUGAGAGUGUAAAGAUGAGAGAGUGACGGUAAUGGAUAAGGAAGGGACGGCUAACUACGUG
rnacentral:rRNA from 1 species